AUACGUAGGUGACAAGCGUUAUCCGGAUUUACUGGGCGUAAAGGGCGUGUAGGCGGUCUUGCAAGUCAGAAGUGAAAUUCCUGAGCUCAACUCGGGCGCUGCUUCUGAAACUGCAGGACUUGAGUGCUGGAGGGGAUAGCGGAAUUCCUAGUGGAGCGGUAAAAUGCGCAGAUAUUAGGAAGAACACCGGUGGCGAAGGCGCCUAGCUGGACAGUAACUGACGCGGAGGGCCAAAAGCGUGGGGAGCAAACAGGAUUAGAUACCCUGUUAGUCCACGCCGUAAACGAUGAAUACUAGGUGUAGGGGGUAUCGACUCCCUCUGUGCCGCAGUUAACACAAUAAGUAUUCCGCCUGGGGAGUACGGCCGCAAGGUUGAAACUCAAAUGAAUUGACUGGG
rnacentral:rRNA from 1 species